rnacentral:rRNA from 1 species
AUGGGAUGUGUUUUGUUAAUUGGAUAACUGUGGUAAUUCUAGAGCUAAUACAUGCAUAUACGUUCAACUUCGGUUGGAUGUGCUUUUAUUAGUGCAAACCAUGUCGUAAGACUAUAGGUGGUGACUCUGAAUAACUUUGCCGAGCAUUUCGGCCUUGUGUCGGUGCUAUUCCUUCAAAGUAUCUGCUCUAUCAACUGUCGAUGGUAUAUUAUAUGUUUACCAUGGUUGUAACGGGUAACGGGGAAUUAGGGUUCGAUUCCGGAGAGGGAGCCUGAGAAACGGCUACCACAUCUAAGGAAGGCAGCAGGCGCGCAAAUUACCCAAUCCCGGCUCGGGGAGGUAGUGACAAAAAAUAACAAUGCGGGUCUUAAAUGAGGCUUCGUAAUUGGAAUGAGUACAUUCUAAAUCCUUUAACGAGGAACUAUUGGAGGGCAAGUCUGGUGCCAGCAGCCGCGGUAAUUCCAGCUCCAAUAGCGUAUAUUAAAAUUGUUGCGUCUAAAAAGCUCGUAGUUUGAAAACUUGCCUUGACUUGCAAUAGGUCCACAUGGGCCACCGUUUGUCGAGCGCAAAUAUGGAUGACUGUUUUUGCCGGCUUAAUUGUUUGGCUUAUAAGAGUUAUCAAAUAUCACUUUGAUUAAAUUAGAGUGCUUAAAGCAAGUGUAUUACUUGAAUAUAAAUGCAUGGAAUGAUGGAAUAUGUUAUUGUUCUAUUUGUUGGUUUUGGAACGAUGAAAUGAUUGAAAGGAACUGAUGGGGGCAUUCGUAUUGUUGUGAGAGAGGUGAAAUUCUUAGACCACAGCAAGACGAACUACUGCGAAAGCAUUUGCCAAGAAUGUUUUCAUUGAUCAAGAACGAAAGUUAGAGGUUCGAAGGCGAUCAGAUACCGCCCUAGUUCUAACCAUAAACUAUGCCAACUAGCAAUUUGCUUACGUAUGUUUUACGACUAAGUGAGAGGCCACGGGAAACCAAAGUAGGGUUAUGGGGGAAGUAUGGUUGCAAAGCUGAAACUUAAAGGAAUUGACGGAAGGGCACCACCAGGAGUGGAGCCUGCGGCUUAAUUUGACUCAACACGGGAAAACUUACCUGGUCCUGACACUAGAAGGAUUGACAGAUUGAUAGCUCUUUCUUGAUUUGGUGGAUGGUGGUGCAUGGCCGUUCUUAGUUGGUGGAGUGAUUUGUCUGGUUAAUUCCGAUAACGAACGAGACUCUAGCCUAUUAAAUAACACACAGAAUCUCGUCUUCUGUGGCGUUCCUUAAUGGGAUCAAGUGUGUUUAACACUUUGAAACAGAGCAAUAACAGGUCUGUGAUGCCCUUAGAUGUUCGGGGCCGCACGCGCGCUACAUUGAGAG